rnacentral:rRNA from 1 species
UACGAAGGGUGCGAGCGUUAAUCGGAAUUACUGGGCGUAAAGCGCGCGUAGGUGGUUUGAUAAGCGAUAUGUGAAAUCCCCGGGCUCAACCUGGGAACUGCAUGUCGAACUGUCAGGCUAGAGUAUGGUAGAGGGGUGUGGAAUUUCCUGUGUAGCGGUGAAAUGCGUAGAUAUAGGAAGGAACAUCAGUGGCGAAGGCGACACCCUGGACAUUUCCUGACGCUGAGGCACGAAAGCCAGGGGAGCAAACGGG